CCUACGGGCGCUGCAGUGGGGAAUAUUGGACAAUGGGCGAAAGCCUGAUCCAGCCAUGCCGCGUGUGUGAAGAAGGCCUUCGGGUUGUAAAGCACUUUCAGUGGGGAAGAAAGCCUUGGGGCUAAUACCCUCGAGGAAGGACAUCACCCACAGAAGAAGCACCGGCUAACUCCGUGCCAGCAGCCGCGGUAAUACGGAGGGUGCGAGCGUUAAUCGGAAUUACUGGGCGUAAAGCGCGCGUAGGCGGUCUGAUAAGCCGGUUGUGAAAGCCCCGGGCUCAACCUGGGAACGGCAUCCGGAACUGUCAGGCUAGAGUGCAGGAGAGGAAGGUAGAAUUCCCGGUGUAGCGGUGAAAUGCGUAGAGAUCGGGAGGAAUACCAGUGGCGAAGGCGGCCUUCUGGACUGACACUGACGCUGAGGUGCGAAAGCGUGGGUAGCAAACAGGAUUAGAUACCCUUGUAGUC
rnacentral:rRNA from 1 species